UCCACCAAACUGUCAUCAAUCUUACUCAUCUCCUCCUUCCGACCACCAUUAGCGUGAAUCUCCAUGAACUUAGCUGCACAUGGUCCACGGUCGCCAGUCCUUUUGUUCUCAUAGAUACCUAACAACCAGCUCCAUUAGUAAUAUCGAGAUUUCGAUUCAUUACUGAGGUACUUCGUAAACCCUGUAUACUGUUCUAGAAUAUAAGGUAAGGAUUCAAGAACCGGAGCCAUAUGUACUUCGACUUCUUAUUCGGUUGGACUGUGUGUGGGGUAAGAGUCAAGGAUCAUCACCUGUGAAACCGCCACGUUAAUACAAAGAUCCACCCAAUGGUCUGAACCCCAGUUCACUGGAGCGUACACUAUGUCAACAUCCUGACCAAAUUCCAACUUAAGAGUUCUCCCCUACUCUUUCUUGUUACAUAACUUGUUAUGUUUAUGCCACAAUUGAAAUGCAACUUAUCUUCCUCUUGCAAGAAAGCAGGGUAACCUGACUUAAUGGGCUUUGUAAAGUAGGGGCCAGCCAUUAACAUCCGUUUUUUUUUUUGCAGAUCAUUCCCAAGACGCCUCGACAACAU
rnacentral:lncRNA from 1 species